rnacentral:ncRNA from 2 species
CUUUAUUUUCAACAGUGAGGUUUCCGGGUCUAUUAGAUCCGGGAUGAAAAAGGAACCGUGUGUAAAUCACGGGCUGUCGCGCAACUGUAAGUAACAUAAAAGGUUGUUGCCUUUACCAUGUCCAUUGUCUGAUGCUCCCAAGCAGGAUGAGAAGGACGGCAACAACGUUACAAGCCAGGAUACUUGCCCCCUGUUUAAGACAAUG